rnacentral:rRNA from 1 species
UGAGUUUGAUCAUGGCUCAGAUUGAACGCUGGCGGCAGGCCUAACACAUGCAAGUCGAGCGGUAACAGAGAGAAGCUUGCUUCUUUGCUGACGAGCGGCGGACGGGUGAGUAACGCGUAGGAAUCUACCUAUUAGUGGGGGAUAAGCCAGAGAAAUUUGGUCUAAUACCGCAUACGCCCUACGGGGGAAAGGAGGGGAUCUUCGGACCUUUCGCUAUUAGAUGAGCCUGCGUAAGAUUAGCUAGUUGGUGAGGUAAUGGCUCACCAAGGCGACGAUCUUUAGCUGGUCUGAGAGGAUGAUCAGCCACACUGGGACUGAGACACGGCCCAGACUCCUACGGGAGGCAGCAGUGGGGAAUAUUGGACAAUGGGGGGAACCCUGAUCCAGCCAUGCCGCGUGUGUGAAGAAGGCCUUCGGGUUGUAAAGCACUUUCAGAUGUGAGGAAAGGUGAGUAGUUAAUACCUGCUUACUGUGACGUUAGCAUCAGAAGAAGGACCGGCUAACUCCGUGCCAGCAGCCGCGGUAAUACGGAGGGUCCGAGCGUUAAUCGGAAUUACUGGGCGUAAAGCGCGCGUAGGUGGUUUUGUCAGUCAGAUGUGAAAGCCCAGGGCUCAACCUUGGAACUGCACCUGAUACUGCAAGA